rnacentral:rRNA from 1 species
AGAGUUUGAUCCUGGCUCAGAACGAACGCUGGCGGCGUGGAUAAGACAUGCAAGUCGAACGAUCAUUGUCGGGUAGCAAUAUUCGGCAGUGGAAGUGGCGCAAGGGUGCGUAACACGUGGGUAAUUUGCCGUGAAGUCUGGAAUAACUUGCUGAAAGGCGAGCUAAUACCGGACGUGAUUGCUGGAGGGCAUCCUCCGGAACUUAAAGUCGGGGACCGCAAGGCCUGACACUUUACGAUAAGCCCGCGGCCUAUCAGCUAGUUGGUGAGGUAACGGCUCACCAAGGCUAAGACGGGUAGCUGGUCUGAGAGGACGACCAGCCUCACUGGAACUGAGACACGGUCCAGACACCUACGGGUGGCAGCAGUCGAGAAUUUUUCUCAAUGGGGGAAACCCUGAAGGAGCGACGCCGCGUGGGGGAUGAAUGGCUUCGGCCCGUAAACCCCUGUCAUUUGCGAUCAAACCUUACGACCUAACACGUCGUGAGUUGAUAGUAGCGGAAGAGGAAGGGACGGCUAACUCUGUGCCAGCAGCCGCGGUAAUACAGAGGUCCCAAGCGUUGUUCGGAUUCACUGGGCGUAAAGGGUGCGCAGGCGGUCGGGUAAGUCUGACGUGAAAUCUUCAAGCCCAACUUGGAAACUGCGUCGGAUACUAUUCGGCUAGAGGAAUGGAGGGGAGACUGGAAUUCUCGGUGUAGCAGUGAAAUGCGUAGAUAUCGAGAGGAACACCAGUGGCGAAGGCGAGUCUCUGGACAUUUCCUGACGCUGAGGCACGAAAGCCAGGGGAGCAAACGGGAUUAGAUACCCCGGUAGUCCUGGCCCUAAACGGUGCACGUUUGCUGUAAGAGGAAUCGACCCCUUUUGUGGCGAAGCUAACGCGUUAAACGUGCCGCCUGGGAAGUACGGCCGCAAGGUUAAAACUCAAAGGAAUUGACGG